rnacentral:rRNA from 1 species
GGACGAACGCUGGCGGCGUGCUUAACACAUGCAAGUCGAACGGUGAAGCUCCAGCUUGCUGGAGUGGAUCAGUGGCGAACGGGUGAGUAACACGUGAGCAACCUGCCCCUGACUCUGGAAUAAGCGCUGGAAACGGCGUCUAAUACUGGAUACGAGAAGGGUCCGCCUGGGCACUUUCUGGAAAGUUUUUCGGUUGGGGAUGGGCUCGCGGCCUAUCAGCUUGUUGGUGAGGUAAUGGCUCACCAAGGCGACGACGGGUAGCCGGCCUGAGAGGGCGACCGGCCACACUGGGACUGAGACACGGCCCAGACUCCUACGGGAGGCAGCAGUGGGGAAUAUUGCACAAUGGGCGAAAGCCUGAUGCAGCGACGCCGCGUGAGGGAUGACGGCCUUCGGGUUGUAAACCUCUUUCAGCAGGGAAGAAGCGAAAGUGACGGUACCUGCAGAAGAAGCACCGGCUAACUACGUG